rnacentral:sRNA from 1 species
UUCAUUAGAAGUAACGAGUGUGACAUAAGGUAAAUCUACGGUGAGGCGCCUUUAUUUCUGUCUAUAGGGCGACCUCAUUAAAUAUCGCUAACAAGGCGUGCAAAUCUCCUGAUUGGACAGUCUUCCUAUAACGUCCAGUCCCUUUGCAGGAUGUCCACUUAAUGAAGGCUACAAUAAAAUGACUGACAA